CAAUGUGUUUGUGCACGUGCGUGGACAUGUGGCCUAGGGGAUGCCAAAUUCCAGGGGCCAGAAAGAGCUUGGGAUAAAAAGAAACUUCAAGGGGACGGCUUUGACCUGGGCUGAGUCUGCCUGUGCCAUCCAACUGGAGUCUCAAGUCCUGAGGCAGGACGUCCAGAUGCCCCAGUGCAGGGUCCUCCUGAUCAACACCUGCUCCCCUGUACUCAUUAGCAACCUCACCCACCCUACUCUCAAAGCACACUUGGCUCUCGUAUCCAGGAGCUCUGCAUCUGUAGAUUCAGCAACAGCAGAUGGAAAAUAUUCAGAAAAUAAAUUGGACGGUUAUGUUUCUAUUGAACA
rnacentral:lncRNA from 1 species